UACGUAGGGUGCGAGCGUUAAUCGGAAUUACUGGGCGUAAAGCGUGCGCAGGCGGUUUUGUAAGCCAGAUGUGAAAUCCCCGGGCUUAACCUGGGAAUGGCAUUUGGGACUGCAAGGCUCGAGUGCGGCAGAGGAGACUGGAAUUCCUGGUGUAGCAGUGAAAUGCGUAGAUAUCAGGAGGAACACCGAUGGCGAAGGCGGCUACCUGGACAAUUGCUGACGCUCAGGCACGAAAGCGUGGGGAGCAAACAGG
rnacentral:rRNA from 1 species